GAAACCUUUGGUUUUUAGUCAUACUAAUCAUCGGAGCUGUUUCGUUACAAAUUGAAAUAUAGUUGUUUAGCAAUUACUCUAUACAAUUAUUCAAAAUGAAAAGAUUUGUGAUCAUUGGACUGGCCACAGCGGUUACUGUCCCAUUGAUUUAUGCCUUGAAGAAACGCGAACGUCGGACUGAAGUGGUGCAGGAAGAGCAGGAGGAGGACGAGCAGGUGGACCCCGAGUGCGAGCAGGAGCCCCAACUGGUGGAGGAGGAUGGGGAUGAGCCGCGGAUGGUGGAGUAUGAUCUGGUGGACGAAGAGGGUCGCCCGCAACCUCAACGUGAAAUCGGCGUUGGGGAAAUAAUUGUGGUUUUGUGCACUGGAUUUUUCCUGUCGAAAAUAUUUUCGCGUGGCGUGUUCUAUAAAAUCCUGAUGUCGAGGCUCAAUCUUGUGCAGUAAUGCACUUUCCUUCACCUGUACUUAAUCCUGUAUCUCGUAUCCUGUUUCCUGUUUCUUUCUUCUGUUCCUCCCUGACACAAGUAUCCCCAAAUUCUCUUAGCUGCCCGAUCAAAUCUGGAACAUCGAUGUAGUCAAAGAAAAUUUACCUAAAACUCGCCUUGACAGAUGCAUAGCCCUGGUUCCCCCUUCCAUGUUUCGAUGUAUACCUAAGUGGGAGUGGAAAACAGGGUUACCGCACAAAUAUCUUUCUAAAGAAAGACAGAGAACCCUUGAAACGAGCAGCUUGAAUUGGACGAGAUUCAAUCCACGGAGACUUUAACCAAAUACAUCUGAAACACUUAAGGCAAAUAUUCUUCAUUUCAUUACUGAAACGCAGUGUAUGCAUACAAAAUGUCAAUAGAUACGAUAUUACGUUCGGGAACUUAAGACUCCACUGAGCCCAAAAUAAAAGCUACAAUAAAAACUG